rnacentral:lncRNA from 1 species
AUUGGGCUCGCCUCGAUUUGGAGGGUCGGCGAGGCUUGGGGCGGACCACUCUCCACCCGUACGCAGGAUGGAGCCCACUGGAAUUGCCAUGGAAGUUCUCAUCGAGACUAGGCUCUGAUGCAUUGAGGAGUACAAGGCCUUAAUAGACUUCAAAGAGAAGCUCGUCGAGGUAUCAUUGGCUGUACUCAUCCAGAACUUCGAGGACUGU